ACUCAAAGGAAUUGACGGGGGCCCGCACAAGCAGCGGAGCGUGUGGUUUAAUUCGAGGCUACACGAAGAACCUUACCUAGGCUUGAAUGGCAGCGAACGAGGGUGAAAGCCUGAGGUCCGCAAGGCGCUGUCACUGGUGCUGCAUGGCUGUCGUCAGCUCGUGUCGUGAGAUGUUAGGUUAAGUCCUGUAACGAGCGCAACCCCCGGAAGCAGUUACACGUUGUCUGCUUCAACUGCCUGCGCAAGUGGGAGGAAGGUGGGGAUGACGUCAAGUCAGCAUGGCCUGUAUGUCUAGGGCUACACACACGCUACAAUGGUCGGUACAACAGGUUGCCAAGCCGCAAGGCGGAGCUAAUCCUCCAAAGCCGAUCUCAGUUCAGAUUGUGGGCUGCAACCCGCCCACAUGAAGUCGGAGUUGCUAGUAACCGUGCGUCAGCUAUAGCGCGGUGAAUACGUUCCCGGGCCUUGCACACACCGCCCGU
rnacentral:rRNA from 1 species